UGGGAGAAGAAAGUUGGGCCGAAGGAAGGGCCGCGAAGAGGGAGGAGGAGGAAGAGGAAAGGCCGGGCGGCGGUGGCUGUAGGUUGUGCGGCGACGGCAGCUCUCCCCCGGGCGGACGAUGGACAGCCAAGGCAGGAAGGUGGUGGUGUGCGACAACGGCACUGGGUUUGUAAAGUGUGGAUAUGCAGGCUCUAACUUUCCAGAACACAUCUUCCCAGCUUUGGUUGGAAGACCUAUUAUCAGAUCAACCACCAAAGUGGGAAACAUUGAAAUCAAGGUAAUAUUUUUUUAAUUGAUAAAUGAGCAUGUAAACCUGUGAGGUAUUCUUUAAAUGAGUAGUUAUAAAAUAUGAUCCAUGAAAAGAAGCAAGAGGGGAGGGAACAAUGUCUCAUAUUUUCAGUUUAUAUCAACACUUGAACAAGGGCACAAAAACUGAAGUUAAUAUAAAAUGCUGACUUAAAGUCCUGUUGCUUAAUAUAAUUUAAAAAAAAAAAUCAGCCUGGUAUUUUUCUGUCUUUCAAUUCCAUACAUUUGUUAUUAUAUGUUAGUGUCUCUUUGAGACCUUAGACUUUUUCUUUGCAUGUUCUCAUGGCCUGAUCCCCUUAUUUUUUAUGUAGGAUGUGAAUUACAGUAGUUCUUCUUUUCACUAGUAUGGUAACUGGUUUCCAUCGUGUUCAGGAGGAAGCCAUGCAAAUCUUUAUUUGGCCUUCCACAAUAUCUUACUAUGAGGAGAGAGGAGGGAAGGUUGUCAUUGCCGACUCAUUAUACCUGACAUCAGAGACUCUGCAUUAAGGAUGAUAUAUUUUUUCUCCCAUGUUAAAGGGAUCAGAAAUUAAGUGGGAGUUACAUUACUUUAGAAGAACGAAAGAAAUAGAGUAAUCAAAAUGGCAGGGGUCACCAGUUGACUUAAAUUCUUCAAAUGGCCUAGGGAUCAGGUUAUACCAACUGUAGUAGUAGAGUUUAGAGGUUCUCUUAGUGAAUUAUUUGUGAACAAGCUAGCAUUGUUGGUCCUGUCUGGGCAGUCUUUGGCAAGACUUCCAUGAACUGUAAGACUAUGAGUCAUUUGAAACGAGUUAGGGUUUACCUCUUCAGAUACUUGUUUGAGAUGUCUAGGAAGGUGGUAAUAGGUAGUAGAGAUUUGCUACUUGGUAGCUCUCUGCUGUUGAGCGUAGAGAAUUGAAUUACACAGUGAAUAAAAAUAUAAACUGAAACUUAGCUUCUGUGUGAAUUUUUUGAAGACUUAAAAUAGUGAAUUAUUCUGACCUCUGUUUUAUUAUGUUACCAAAAAAUCAAAUGGGACACUUAAUAUGAGUUCUUAUUUUUUUAAGGUCUUUUCUAUUCGGAGAUUUAUGAUUCUCCUUUUGUGAACUCCUUUCAUUCUCAUUAAAUUCAAUCUUAAAUGAACUUUGAUUUAAAUUUAGCUAAUGAUAGUGAUAAGGAUAAACUACGUUUUAAUGAAGUUGAAGGUAAUACUUUUUAUUCAGUGACAGGUUUUUAAAGAAGGGUUCCUUUUUUAUAUACUUUACAGGCAGUAAAAUUUUUGAGAUAUUAAGAUAAAUCAUGUAUAGCCAUUUUUAUUCUCCAGCAUAGGCACAAAUAAUUACACAUUGCUUCACUCUCGCGUUCCUGCUUUUUAAGGCCAACUGAUAGAAGUCAGACUUUCUAAUAAGACAUUUUUGCCAAGGAACUCCCCAGUAGCAUUUGCUUGUAUGGUUUGUCAUUCUGUGUUCUGUUGGCUCAGCUCUGUUGAGUCUGCUCAGUCGUUAAGCCUUUUAAAUUAUAUUGUUCUUCCAAUUAAAAACAGUAAAAGGGACCUGUAUAAAAUUUAAUUUGAGUACUAGAACUUGGGGGGAAGAAAACAACCCUGAACUAUCUAACUCUCAGCCAACCCAGCUAGACUUUUUCUGUUGUAUUUUCCUUAAUUAAAGUUCUUAAAUUCAGUAACGGAUUCAAGAAACUUGACUUUUUGGAAUUCCUAUGCCUAGUGGACGACUUAUACUUUUUCUAUCUUGUUAGCUAAAAUAUGGCGGUAGACCAAAACAGGUGGAAUUUUACAAAUUGUUUAAUGAGUUCAUUUUCAUUCCGGAGUAAUAACUGUCCGUGUUAAUUUGGCCCUAAUUAUUAACUCCGUAAAAUAAUAGUAGUACUGCAUCUGACCUCUACCUAAUUUGUCUCUAUUGCUUGUAUGUUUCAAAAUUUCAGUGAGGAUUUUAUUUAGGCCUUUUCUGACUCUUACUUCUACCUUCUCUCUCUUCACCUUUCUUGACCUGUUGAAGUAGAAUAACAAAAAGAUGGUAAGUGAGGUUACACACAUGCUCUCUGUUUGUUUUCCACUUUUGCUUGGUGGGACAGUAGUUGUUGUCUUGUGUCCCUUUAGUACUGGGGGGGGAUAAUUCCAUAUUUUUAUUUUAAAUACUUUGAUUUUUAACCUUUUUCAUUGCUUCAGUUUGGUAGCAACUAAUUAAGUCCUUUACUUCCUGAUUUCAUACAAUGGACCAAACAAGAACUAAUUACUAACAUAGUUUUGAGUUGUUUUCCUUUUGUUUCUUGUAGAUGAAUGCUAUAAUAAAAAUGGAAUGUGGUGUGCAUAAUAUUAGAAACCAAGUGGCUUUAUAUAGGAUAUGUAUGAUCCAGAAAAGUGGGGGGAUGUUGUCACAUUUGGAUAAAUCUGCUUUGUUCCCAAUGUGAAUUGACGAUUGCCUAUCGUAGCCUGUAUAUAUAUUUACAUCCAGUAUAUCAUAUAUGGGUUUAAUAAGUUGAGUAAAAUCUUAUAUGCAAAUGAACUAUAGAA